rnacentral:rRNA from 1 species
UACGUAGGGUGCAAGCGUUGUCCGGAAUUAUUGGGCGUAAAGAGCUCGUAGGCGGUUUGUCGCGUCUGCUGUGAAAACUCGGGGCUUAACCCCGGGCCUGCAGUGGGUACGGGCAGACUAGAGUGCGGUAGGGGAGACUGGAAUUCCUGGUGUAGCGGUGAAAUGCGCAGAUAUCAGGAGGAACACCGGUGGCGAAGGCGGGUCUCUGGGCCGUAACUGACGCUGGGGAGCGAAAGCGUGGGGAGCGAACAGG